ensembl:snRNA U6 U6 spliceosomal RNA
GUGCUCACUUCGGUGGCACAUAUACUAAAAUUGGAAUGAUACAGAGAAGAGUAGCUAGCAUGGCCCCUGAGCAAGAAAAGCCAUUUGGGGCUUUCAGAGUUACACUCCGUGGUU